rnacentral:rRNA from 1 species
UACGUAGGGUGCAAGCGUUGUCCGGAAUUAUUGGGCGUAAAGAGCUCGUAGGCGGUUUGUCGCGUCGAAUGUGAAAACCCGGGGCUCAACCCCGGGCCUGCAUUCGAUACGGGCAGACUAGAGUUCGGUAGGGGAGUCUGGAAUUCCUGGUGUAGCGGUGAAAUGCGCAGAUAUCAGGAGGAACACCGGUGGCGAAAGCGGCUUCCUGGUCCAACAUUGACAUUCAGGUGCGAAAGCGUGGGGAGCAAACAGG